rnacentral:tRNA from 1 species
GUGGAUGUAGCUCAAUCGGUAGAGCGCGACCCAAUGUGGUCGAGGCCGUGGGUUCGAAUCCCACCUUCCGCG